UUGGUGAGAUGUAGGUGACUCGUGAAAGUGGCGGUGGUUGUCAAAGCUCUCGGGAGUGGCUGGGAAUUAGAAGCGUCGGCAGGAUAAUGGCUUCGCCUCUGUUUCCUCGUGUUCUUAUUUCUCAUUCAUCUCUCCUUUGGCUUCUUCUGAUCAUUUCUUGCAGGGAGAUAUAAUUUAAUGGAAGCAAGCAAGAUCGAUGAUUAGUCUCAAACAGAUUACAAGUUUCAUUUUGGUGGAGAAGAGUGCAGAACACAUACAUGCAGGUGGUAGUUUGAUCAAAUCAAGUUUGCAGCGUGUGGAGUGAAGCUUUUUCUUGGAAAUUUUGAUGAGGGCUUUUAACAUUUAGCAGAUCAGUAAGCUGGAGAGAAGGCAUGACGUGCCCAAAGAAGACAGGUCAACUACUGCCUUCAAAUGAUGAACUCCUGCAAGAGGCAUUGACCAUGACACACCACCUAUUGUGAAACACGAGGAACUGUAGCCAUCUUUACUUGGGGCCACAGGAGACAAAGGUA